UGCCAGCAGCCGCGGUAACACGAACUGCGCGAACGUUAUUCGGAAUCACUGGGCUUAAAGAGUGCGUAGGCGGCUUUGUAGGUGGGGUGUGAAAUCCCUCGGCUCAACCGAGGAAUAGCGCUCCAAACCACUAAGCUUGAGGGAGAUAGGGGUGAGCGGAACUGAUGGUGGAGCGGUGGAAUGCGUAGAGAUCACGAGGAACACCUAUGGCGAAGGCAAGCAUCUGGACGACGACUGACGCUGAGGCGCGAAAGCUAGGGGAGCAAACAGGAUUAGAUA
rnacentral:rRNA from 1 species